AUACUUAACCUGGCAGGGGAGAUACCAUGAUCACGAAGGUGGUUUUCCCAGGACGAGGCUUAUCCUUUGCACUCCAGAUGUGCUGACCCCUGCGAUUUCCCCAAAUGUGGGAAACUUGACUGCAUAAUUUGUGGUAGUGGGGGACUGUGUUUGCACUUUCCCCUU
ensembl:snRNA U1 U1 spliceosomal RNA